AACGAACGCUGGCGGCAUGCCUAACACAUGCAAGUCGAACGAGACCUUCGGGUCUAGUGGCGCACGGGUGCGUAACGCGUGGGAACCUGCCCUUAGGUUCGGAAUAACUCCCCGAAAGGGGUGCUAAUACCGGAUAAUGUCUUCGGACCAAAGAUUUAUCGCCUUGGAUGGGCCCGCGUUGGAUUAGCUAGUUGGUAGGGUAAAAGCCUACCAAGGCGACGAUCCAUAGCUGGUCUGAGAGGAUGAUCAGCCACGCUGGGACUGAGACACGGCCCAGACUCCUACGGGAGGCAGCAGUGGGGAAUAUUGGACAAUGGGCGAAAGCCUGAUCCAGCAAUGCCGCGUGAGUGAUGAAGGCCUUAGGGUUGUAAAGCUCUUUUACCCGGGAUGAUAAUGACAGUACCGGGAGAAUAAGCUCCGGCUAACUCCGUG
rnacentral:rRNA from 1 species